UACGGUAGGGUGCAAGCGUUAAUCGGAAUUACUGGGCGUAAAGCGUGCGCAGGCGGUUUGCUAAGACCGAUGUGAAACUCCCCGGGCUUAACCUGGGACUGCAUUGGUGACUGGCAAGCUAGAGUGUGGCAGAGGGGGGUAGGAAUCCACGGUGUAGCAGUGAAAUGCGUAGAGAUGUGGAGGAAUACCGAUGGCGAAGGCAGCCCCCUGGGCCAACACUGACGCUCAUGCACCGAAAGCGUGGGGAGCAAACAGG
rnacentral:rRNA from 1 species